GACUUACCGAAGGCAAGUAAGUGGCCCCGCCCGAGCCAUUAUACUGAUACGGAUCAACCAGUCGUUGCACUAUCCCCUUCAUGCUGGUUGUUUAGACCCCCGGUGAUGCACAACACCGGGUGGGUGGGUAGAUGAAUAUGUGUAUGCUUGGUGCGAGAUGGAACCAAAUAAUGCUACUCAGUUUGAAUCAACGCAUAACGUCACUGGGAUGAUUAAUAUAAAGCAAUGGAACGAAGGAGGACUGGUGGAUAUCACUGUAGAUUUGGUUUGGUUU